rnacentral:lncRNA from 1 species
CUGGUCCCAGCGAUAGCUCCAGCGACGAGCGAGUCACCCAGCACCUCCAUGGCGCCCAGUGGUAGCUCCGGAGCCUCGGCAGCGGUCCCUAUAGAAGGGUCAGAGCAAGACAACACCUCGGUAAGAGCUUAAGCCUUUUUUUUUUCUUUCUCGAUCCGAGAGAACUGACCAGAAAAUGGUUUGCUGUAGGGUGGCGAUAGUCUCGUAACUUGGUGGAGGUUGAUCGUCGCGUCCACCGUGGUGGCGCUGAGACUUUUGUGAGCGAGCGAAUUGACUUGAAUAUAGAAUGGAGAGCAUACCGAUGAAAGAUUUUGAGUCUUUGUAGAUCUAGACUCGUUCUCUAGAGAUCAGGAGGGAGGAGGUCUUUCUGUCCAGGAGAAAUCGUAAAUGCUUGUUGAUUUUUUUCUCCUCCACUUUCCGUCAUCUUCUCAAUCAAUUGUCAUAGAGAAUUCGAGAAGCCGUGUCUGGAAAAGGAUGUAACGAUGGCGUGAGCUUGCGAGUGAAAGAAAAAGCCAUAACGCACCAGGAUUGAGGCAACGGAUGAUCAGAAACUUUGGCAGGCUGCAGCAUGACUAUCUCGCUGCACCUGGCCCUCCUGCGUGACUCAAACGAUAUUGUCAAGGCAUUACUCCACACAAGAAAAACAAACCUGAGUAGUCCGAGGUGAAACAAUACCGUCAGCAUGAUGAUCCGUGCGCAGUCCCGGCGGAGAAGAUGAAUAUCUGAAUGCAUGCGUACUCCUGAUAGCCAGCAAAACAUUUUUUCUGAGAGAAGUUUUUCAUAGCUCAGUACCUUCGAUCGGAUAGGAUAGCAUAACUAGACCGAGGCGAAACAAUACCACAGCAUGGUGAUCGACUAGUGCGCAGUCCCCGCGGAGAAGAUGGAUCUCUGAAGUAGAUGGAUGCAUGCGUACUUCUGUUAGCUAGCAAAACAUUUGUUCUGAGUGUGAGUCAAGAAUUUUUUCAUAGCUCUCGUAAGUUUGAUGGAAGGACUCCACGCUCCUCGUUAGAGUUAACCACUGAAGAAACGUUGAAAAACAAGAAAAAACCUGAGCACGGCAAGCAAGCAUAGAACUCUUUUCUCGACAGCCCGAAGAAACGAACAAAAAAUACCUGUCAAGCGAUCAAGCAUGCUUCACUUACCUCGAUCGGAUAUCGAGAGAAUAGCAUAACUAGUCCGAGAAACAAUACCGUCAGCAUGAUGAUCGACUACUGCGCACUCCGCGGAGAAGAUGGAACUCUUAAGUAAAUGGAUCCUGCUAGCUCUGAAAACAUUUAUUUUGGGUGUGAGUCAAGAAUCCUUUGAUAGCUUAGUACCUCAUUAAGUCUUUGAUGGAAUCAAAGCUCUUGCGAGGAUUCAUGGGCUCCCUGGAAAACCUUGUACGUAAAACCAUUGUGAGCAUGACAGGCAAGCAUAGAACGCUUUUCUAGCAAUCUUCUAGGACAUGGACGCCUGGCCCCAGGAAAAACAAACAAGAAAUACCAAGCAAAAUGCCCCACAAAGAGAAUGCUUCGCUUACCUCGAUCGGCCAGGAAUGCGGUGAAGAUCGGGAAACCUGGAAGCGCGGCGAGCGAUGAUCCAGUCCCAAGCGGGCCUCCGGCC